GAUAAGUACUUGUAGAUGAUUCUAGGAUGGAGUCUUAGAUAGGAAUGAUUGGCAAAACAGGAUUAGUAAAGCUGACUCCAAAUAGCUGUGGCAAUGCUAUUAUGGUGGUGUUGAUUUCGCGUUUUAUGCUGUAUUUUUUGUCAUUUUGGUUAAUUAGUAAGACACAGGCAGCUCUCUUGGACCUCAAAUACCCUGAGAAUGUUUCUAUAUGAAAUAAAUGACGGAUGCAGAGAAUAGCUGGGAAAGGAAGCUAACUCUGUUAUCCAUUUUCAAAAUAGAAUAUCAAGCAUCUAGACUCUACCAUCAGUGCAAUUUCAAAAUGCAGUAGAAUCGAAUGAGAUGGCUGCUGUUAAGUUUGUGAUGGUUCCUUUUUUCACCGUUUAUACAGGGAAUGAUCCAUUGAGAAACACCUGUAGUGGAAGUUUGAUGUAUGUGGAUCUUUUCACGCACACAAUCACAACCUUAGCAAGAGGACAAUGGGAAGUGGAUCCAUUUGUUCUGACUUUUCGAGAUAUGUUGUGAUGGAAUGGGGCCUGUCUCUCAUCAUUUGGAUUUGACUGGACAGUGAUAAAAUUCACUUUGGCUAUUGGUGUUUCAUGAUUAGUUGCUUUCCAUUUGUACAACUACUCUCUACUUUUCAUUUUAAUUAUCAAAAUGAGAAAUGUUUGUCAUACAUUGAAAUCAAAUCUGAGCCUUAAUCUG